GGAGCUGGCCAUGCAGCCGCUGGCGGCCGGGGCUUGAGCCCCGCGCCGCGAGAGGAAAGUCCGGGCUCCACAGGACAGGGCGCCAGGUAACGCCUGGGAAGCGCGAGCUUACGGAAAGUGCAGCAGAGAGCAGACCGCCGCGAACCCCGAGGUUUGCGGUAAGGGUGAAAGGGUGCGGUAAGAGCGCACCGCGCGCGUGGUAACACGGGUGGCUAGGCAAACCCCGCCCGGAGCAAGGCCAAAUAGGAAUCCCGUGGCGUGGUCCGCGCCGGAUUCGGGUAGGCUGCUGGAGGUCUUCGGCGACGGAGACCCUAGAUGAAUGGCUGCACGCCGGAUGGCGGCGGGGCUUCGUUCCCGGCGCUCCGGCGACAGAACCCGGCUUAUCGGCCAGCUCUUUUC
rnacentral:RNase_P_RNA from 1 species